rnacentral:snoRNA from 1 species
AACCCAUGGUGAGGGUACCUUCUCAGUAAGUCCAUGUAUCUCUCCCAUGCAUCGUAGAGGGUUUCUAAAUCCAUCUGUACAAAAGAAGAGAUGUCAUUAAGUAAUUU